UCGAACGGAAAGGCCCUGCUUGCAGGGUACUCGAGUGGCGAACGGGUGAGUAACACGUGGGUGAUCUGCCCUGCACUUCGGGAUAAGCCUGGGAAACUGGGUCUAAUACCGGAUAGGAGCCAUUUUUAGUGUGAUGGUUGGAAAGUUUUUUCGGUGUAGGAUGAGCUCGCGGCCUAUCAGCUUGUUGGUGGGGUAAUGGCCUACCAAGGCGGCGACGGGUAGCCGGCCUGAGAGGGUGGACGGCCACAUUGGGACUGAGAUACGGCCCAGACUCCUACGGGAGGCAGCAGUGGGGAAUAUUGCACAAUGGGCGCAAGCCUGAUGCAGCGACGCCGCGUGGGGGAUGACGGCCUUCGGGUUGUAAACUCCUUUCGCUAGGGACGAAGCUUUUUGUGACGGUACCUAGAUAAGAAGCACCGGCUAACUACGUGCCAGCAGCCGCGGUAAUACGUAGGGUGCGAGCGUUGUCCGGAAUUACUGGGCGUAAAGGGCUCGUAGGUGGUUUGUCGCGUCGUCUGUGAAAUUCCGGGGCUUAACUCCGGGCGUGCAGGCGAUACGGGCAUAACUUGAGUACUGUAGGGGUAACUGGAAUUCCUGGUGUAGCGGUGAAAUGCGCAGAUAUCAGGAGGAACACCGAUGGCGAAGGCAGGUUACUGGGCAGUUACUGACGCUGAGGAGCGAAAGCAUGGGUAGCGAACAGGAUUA
rnacentral:rRNA from 1 species